rnacentral:lncRNA from 1 species
CCGCGGCUAUUUUAAGGAGCGUGCCCGAGCCCCUCCCUUGAUCUGCAAGCCCAGCCCCUCCCAAGCUCGUUGGAGCAACCACCCCUGCCCAAUUUGGCAGCUCCGGACGCCAUUGCCUCCGUCAGUCCUGCUCAAAGUCGAGCUAGCGGUGACUCCCCUGACCCUCUUUUCCCCUCUAGAAGAACCACCAGAGCCCCUCGAGCCCUCCCCUAUCCUCGUUCCAUCCCUGGGUCAUUCGUGGCCUCGCCUUCGAAUCUGGCCGGAGCCCUCACCCGCGGGAGCCUACGUCGUCGCCGCUCGGAUCCUCGUCGCCGCCCAUGCUCUAGUAGGACGGAGGCGGCGUCCUCUCCUGAGCACGCCGGUGGCCGAGGCGCUUCGGGGGAUGGCCGGAGCCGUCGGGGGCCAGCGCCGGUGCCGCGCAGCCUCUCCUCUGCCUUCUCUGCCGCGGGAGGAAGAAGAAAGAGGAGGAGAGAGAGCGACUCGACAGGUGGGCCCUAACCCCACCUGUCGGUGAGAGGAGGUCUGAUACCGCUGGAUAAGUGGAUGCGUAACGCUAGUAAUGCGCUUUCCUUUUUGGAAAGCGUAUUUCCAGAGAAGGCGCCAUCAGUUUUUCCAGCUAGGACUUGAUAGUAAAUAUUUUAAUUGCAGAUCGGUCCUUCUACUUCAAACACCCAUAGCUUUUCAUCCAUAGCUCCGAUUAAGGUGAUUCCAACGCCCACGUCUUCGUCUCGUCGAGCCCUUCAUGUUGGUAUCAUUUUCAUUAUGUGUUCACAUUCUCAAAAUGACCAUGUUGCCCUUGCCCUUCUAUCAACCUUCUUCGAGAGAGAAUAGUUCCUGGCGAUCCUUUCUGCGGACUCUCCGCACUUCUUCCGGGAGUAUUCUUCUACCCCAUGCAAGCCAACCAUCUGAUAUAUGCCCUAAAGCAUUGCUCUGUGUUUUUCUUGUGUGUUUAAUUAAUGAUAUGCUUGUGGUAGAAAUAAUUAAACUCCCGCCAUUUCGAUAUUGUCAUUUACAUUACCUGCUACUGCUCAUCUUAUCAUUGCAUUCAUGACUUGUCGUGAUGGAUGGUUAUGUUUUUAUCAUGCUUAGCUACUACCAUCUCAAGUUAUUAUGAUAAACAACCAUGCUUGUUAAACACUUGCUAUGGCUAAACCUAGUCGGUUGAUCUAGAGUCACCUAUCGGGGCUUAUCCGUGCAACCACAUUUGCCGGUAUGGGACGAACUUGACUUGGUCUGAUCGUGUGCUCUUCCACCGGUACCACCAGACAGGGAAGGUUAUGCGCGCGCGCUACCUUGACCCGGUAGGCGGCGAUAACCUUGUGAGCCAGUUGAUUGUUUUGUGCCAGCGUCCCCGUUUGGGACAAUUUUGUUUGGCCACGACGGUGAAAGGUGUCAUGAGGACACAGGGGCCACCCAAGGCAGGACUCCGGGUGAGGAUGAAUGCCGGUGGUACGAUGGAAGAGGUACGGGUCAGGCAGGUUUCGUUGGAGCAACACAGGUCCAUCCGAAUGGGAUAACGAGGUCAGUGCUCCAUCGUGUGGGUAAAGUGUGCAACCUCUGCGGAGUGUAAAAUUUAUUAGAAUAGCCGUGUCCAGGGUAUUGGACAUCCCGUCUAGACCUCACUAGGUUGUCAACUGUAAAGGUGAUAAUAAUGAUGGAAGAACUCGUCUUGUGCAGACAUCCGAUGAUGUCAGGAAUAUGAUAUGUUAGCCAUGGGAUGGCUAUGAGAUGGGUGGACGGAUGACCACAUGAGUUGGAUUAGAUUUGGAUCAGAUUGAGAUUGGAUCGUCAUGACAUUCAGAGUAUAAAUCAUUUACUUAAUAUGCUUUACCUUAUCGUAUUUACUUUAGUAGUUAUCUUGCUAGAUAGUCCUAUUAUAUCAUGAUAUUUAAUCCUGCUAGAUAGGUAAGCUAUGCCAUGAUAAUUAACAUUGCUCUAAUAACAAGUGCAUGCUUGAAUGCCAUAGAUUGCAUUGCUUAGUGUAUAUGUUAGUUCGGUUUGCUUGCGAGUACAUUCAAAAGUACUUAGCGGCUUUUAACAUGGCCAGGUUCACGUAAGGAUCCAUCGUCCGCCAUCGAGGAACCGGAGCCUUCACGGGCUAGGAGAGUAACUAUUGGGGAUAUUAUCUGUUGGGUAACCCGCCCUA